AUCCACGACAUGUUGAAGGCAAAAGGCUAGACAAGACAGUAUGGAGCCUAUUGAACUUUUAUGCAUUCAUUAAACAUCAUGUGAAGUGUACACGAAGUUUUAUUCAGCGCAGGAUGAGGAGUCGUCUACAAAAUUUGGUUGAGAUACUGCAAACUGGAAGAGUAGUUGAGGAGCAACAACAAGAAAAGAAAGAAAGGGGUAUGUUUCCACUUCAAACUACAUACUCUCCUGGUUUCUUUUUUCUUGAACUGUUUUAAGGCAUAAUAAUAAAAACAGUGGCAUGAAUUCACAGAUUCAAUUUGAUUUAGUGCAGAG